AUCAGGCAUCGGUUCAGAUUGUGUGAUUCUCUCUUCUGAUGAAGAAAUUUCCGUUUCUUGUUCUUAUAUGUGAUGGGUGUUUCUCUCUGCCUGUUUAUUCCCUCAGGUGGAUGUUUGUCUGAGUGAUGGAACCCUAGCUAGGGCUGCUGUUCCGAGUGGGGCCUUGACAGUGUUACUAUGACACUUCCAAGGCAAUAGAUGAGUUCGUUCAGAAAAUACUACUGACAGGACUGGAGCCUGGAGCUAUUGAUAUGUUUCUUGAUUUCAUUUGCUACUCAGGUGGUCCUCUACCUAAUGAACUGCUCACCCAAGUUAAGGGAGUUCAUGUUUCAGAGGACUUUGUUGCCAAGCAAUUGAGGUCCAUGCUUUCUGAUAUGUAGGUUAAUGUGGUUGCAGUCGAAUAUGACAUUGAGCAUGCAACAAGAAGAUAGAUUGAAGCAGAUGGGUGCGACAGUGAGGAACAUUUGUUUGUAACUAGAAAGACUGAAGAUGAAUGAGCAGAGGGAAAUGUUAGCAAAGAUUGCAGUGGGGAAAAUGUCUAUAGAGCAGUUAUCUGAUCUGCUGUCAAGAUCUGCAGCACAAGGCAGCUCUCAAACUUGUGUGGAAAGCAAUAGGAAGCAGAACUUUGUUUAGUGUUAUUUGUGUCUAUUUUGUUAGUUUAAAUAGAC